rnacentral:tRNA from 1 species
GGUGAGAUGGCCGAGCGGUCUAAGGCGCCAGACUAAGGUACGACCAGGACAUUUGAUGUCCUCGCAGCUUCUGCGUAAUCUGGUCUUUCGGGGCGUGGGUUCGAAUCCCACUCUCAUCA